GGAGUCAAAGAAGCGUGGGUGGGAGUCACUCCGCGAGCCGCUCCAGGCAGAAUCGACCGGCAAGUUGCCGCGCCAGGCAGACCGACCCAACGGGAAUACUUAAUGCUGUCGCGUACCCACCGCUUGACGAUUGAAUGAAGAGGAGGUUAUAAACAAGGAUGCUAGGAUGCUAGAUGCUACCAUCUAGAUCCUAACUGAGCUUCUGAGCAAGAGAGAGAGAUUCUCAUACCGGAUGAGCUUUUGAGGGUGCCUACUUGUUACGCCUCAACGUGUCAUUCCAAAUUGACCUUUUCAAACUAAAGAUUAUGGUCAGUUGACUUCUGCCGGAGACAGCGCACGUGUAUCGUUAUCUAGAGGGCAUUCGGCAGCUGUCAACCACCUCGAGGCGAUUACCAGAAGGUACAGUCACUCAACUGGCUGACCAAACUGGCCCGUUACUGCUUCCAGCUAUAUAGUUAAGGGUUUGAGGCACCUUGCGUCUCUACUGGCGGUUCGCCAGGCGCGAACUACUCGCUCAGCGCGAAAGAACCCCCACGGAGGAAAAAAAAACCCCGAGGAAAAAAACAUGGAAACAGAGAGGAGGCUAACUCAAUGUAGAAAAGAUUUCAUUGAGCAACGACGGUAUGAUCUGGCAGCCUGCCAAUAGUACACCCCCUCGCGCUCCAUCUGUGUAUAUCUAUAUAUCGAGGGAAUUCGAAGUUCGAGAGUCGAAAGGCUGACCAGUCGAGCACGAAACGACUGAGAAGUGCAUCUCGUUUCAAACUCUGAUGUUUCCUACCAGUGUGUGUUUAUGUCUAUCUGCAGAUCUUCUAUCCAGGGAUGUGUGUGUCUUGCAUGUAGGGCGAGGGGUGACGGGAGGCUAAAAGAUCGAUCGGAUAGAAAUUGUGAGCUCAAAAGUUCAACCACGUUAUAAAUUUGUAUUCAUCUAUCAAUCUAAUGUAUUUUUCCGAUAGUAAUUUAAUAAAACUCUAUAUAUUUAUGCCGGCUAUGCUUCAUAAAAAUAGUUCAGAUGUAAUGCAUGCAUUGAAAUCCAUUCUCAUGUCAGUUUUUUCUAGAUUCACUUGCUAUAUCCUGGAAAUAAGCUUGUGGUGAGAAAUAAAGUCUUUUUCGCUUCUACAAGUGUUGAUCUACGGAUUGGGACCUGGUCUAUCAGCGUUAUGCAUGGUAUGGACAUCAACUUUGGAAAUUUUUAUUCUUUAGACUUCCCUCUAGCAGCCUAUCUUCGGAAAACUCAAAAUUUUCCUUUCCUUCCCAAUUAAACCAAGCCCAAAAGUCAAAAAACCACACUUAUUAUAGGUAAUUUUUUAAUUUUAGCACUUUUCUUAGCUUAAAGCGUUUUAAGCAAGUAAGUAUUGGAUUGUUAACAUAUUUGCUCUUAAUUUUGACUAGCAUUAAGAAUAUUUCAACUAUCUGCGGAAGAACGAACUUAAAUUGCGAAAGACAUUGGUGCACAAUAUUAGAUUUUGGCAUAUUAAAUCUUCCAGAGGAACUGAGUUUACUUAGAGUUAUUGUUCUAUUUGUACUAACGAUCUCUUUGUCUCUCAUUCAUCCUUUGUCAAAAGCCACUCGGAAUAAUAACAACAAUAAUGGCAACAAUAACAAUAAUUUGUAACAACAUUUUAACGAGUAUGUCAUUACAUUAUCUUCUACCACUCGGAACGUUAAAAUGCCGAGUAGUAAGGCGAGAAUUAUCCUCGGAAGGUGUUUUGUUGGAUUCCGGCAUUACACCUUUUGUGUCGGAAUAGCACGGAAAAUUCAAUUUUAUAACAACACACC